UAGCUCAGUUGGUUAGAGCAUCUGACUUUUAAUCAGAGGGUCCUCGGUUCGAGCCCGAGAGGACGUACCA
rnacentral:tRNA from 1 species